CCUACGGGUGGCAGCAGUGGGGAAUAUUGGACAAUGGGCGAAAGCCUGAUCCAGCCAUGCCGCGUGUGUGAAGAAGGCCUUCGGGUUGUAAAGCACUUUCAGUGGGGAAGAAAGCCUUGGGGCUAAUACCCUCGAGGAAGGACAUCACCCACAGAAGAAGCACCGGCUAACUCCGUGCCAGCAGCCGCGGUAAUACGGAGGGUGCGAGCGUUAAUCGGAAUUACUGGGCGUAAAGCGCGCGUAGGCGGUCUUGUAAGCCGGUUGUGAAAGCCCCGGGCUCAACCUGGGAACGGCAUCCGGAACUGUCAGGCUAGAGUGCAGGAGAGGAAGGUAGAAUUCCCGGUGUAGCGGUGAAAUGCGUAGAGAUCGGGAGGAAUACCAGUGGCGAAGGCGGCCUUCUGGACUGACACUGACGCUGAGGUGCGAAAGCGUGGGUAGCAAACAGGAUUAGAUACCCCAGUAGUC
rnacentral:rRNA from 1 species